UACGGAGGGUGCAAGCGUUAAUCGGAAUUACUGGGCGUAAAGCGCACGCAGGUGGCUGAGUAAGUCGAUUGUGAAAGCCCUGGGCUUAACCUGGGAAUUGCAGUCGAUACUGCUCGGCUAGAGUAUGGGAGAGGGUAGUGGAAUUCCCGGUGUAGCGGUGAAAUGCGUAGAUAUCGGGAGGAACAUCAGUGGCGAAGGCGGCUACCUGGCCCAAUACUGACGCUCAUGCACGAAAGCGUGGGGAGCAAACAGG
rnacentral:rRNA from 1 species